AAAUACUUAAACAAUGUAAUGAAAGCAAGCAAACAUAACAUAAACAUGUAAUUAGGUAAACAUCAAUGUAAGUAACAACCCAUGACCAAAGGUAACACAAAAAGUACUUAAACAAGUAGUAUUCAUGUCAUCAAGGCAAAUAAUAGAAGAAAUGGCAAUUAAACAAUCACACAUCAAAUGAGAAGUGAACACUUACUCACACAUAGGCACUUAAACAAGAUACCUAAAGCAAUACUU
rnacentral:lncRNA from 1 species